CCGAUGUUCGCGAGUCCAAAGCACCGCCGCUCGCUCGCUUCUUCGGGGGCAGUUCUCUUUCGCCCAUUUUACGGUUGGCCCUCGAUAUCGAAUGAAACGCAGUCUGACAGUUAACGCGCAGGACUUGAACAAAGUUAGACGGCUAUUUCAAUAAAAUCUAUGACUGAUUUAACCGAGAAUUAACGGAUAUGUUGAAGCCUUAGGUGAAGAAAUUGAUCGUAAAGACGUCAGACCAAAUUUGCCACUUGAUCCAAAGAGUUAGUUUCUGUGUUGAAUAAGACUUUGCCGGAUAUAAAUGAAGUGCCUUUCCGGGAUUCGCUGAGUCUUCCUGUUUGUCAAAGAGACAGAAGUCGAACUGAUUUACAUUUUCUACCAGCAUAUCGUUACCAAGACAUCCCGUUAAGGUCGCAGCAAGAUUGUUCGUAAAUAAACAUUUGUUCAACUUGUCGCUCCGCCCUCAAACAACUGCAAAUAAAGGUAGGGGGCCACUCUCAGCGGAGGACAAAAAGCAAGCGCCUGCAACCGCAGUUAUAACUGUACUCUAUGGCCGCCAUACUCUGAAUCAACGGACAGACGUUGAUGACGUACCAACACCAUGGCGGAAUUAACGACAAGCGAUUACACCAACAUUACGACACCACUUUUGUUAACGCAACAACUUGUGACGAGGCACUCAGAACCCGAUUCUCACUCCCAGGCGCAUUCCGUUGCUGACUUAGAAUGGAACCGAGGACUGCGCAUAAACGUACUAAUAGUUUGUGUUGUGAUUGGAACUAUUGGCUGUUUUGGGGUCUGUCUCUGGAUGUGGUACAACACUCGGAGGAAAUCUCGGGUCAAUACCAUGAUAAUGCAUCUGACAGUUUCGGAUGUCCUCGUUCUCUGGUUAGCAUCCCUCGGACAGAUUAUUUGGGAAUUCAUGGGAAAUCCCAACUGGUUAGCUGGGAAUGGUUUCUGUAAGAUAUUCAAGUUCCUCCAGACGUUUUCUAUCAUGGCCAGUAAUUAUAUUCUUGUUGUCAUCGGGAUUGAUCGCCACCAGGCCAUUCGGGCCCCACUCAAGGAACCAUUCGCAGUAUGGAAGAUGGCUGGAGUGGGAUGGGGUCUUGCCGGAGUCUUCUCAACGCCUCAGCUUUACAUCUUCUCGACCUACCAAGUCGAAGUCAACACGACCAACGAAACAUCCAACGCGACUGUCAUCAUUGAGGAGGAAAUAUGCCGAUCUCUGUUCAAGGACAACCCAAUAAUACAUAGACAAGCUUACCUGACGUUCAUUUUUGUGGUCAACUUUUUUCUACCCUUGUUUAUCAUAGGCAUAUGCUACAUCAGAAUAUUUUUCAAAAUAGCAGAGAAGGUAAAAGAGGGGAAGGGGUGUAAGAAACAGAGCAUAAAGCCCGGUAAAGUGCAUUUACAAAGUACUCAAUCCUCCUCCCUGCCAAAGGCUAAGGUCAAAACGCUCAAGAUGACCAUAGUUAUUGUUCUGAACUUUAUAAUCUGCAGUACCCCAUAUUAUGUAGCUGAGAUGAUCAUGAACUAUGGCGACUGGGCCUCCAUGAUGACGCCCACAGUCUGGGGACUGUUGGGCGCAGUGACCACGACAAAUUCAGUUACAAACUCUUAUAUUUUUCUACUCUUCAAUGCGAAUGCUAAGUGCAUGCGGAGGAUCUGCGGUAGAUGUCCAUGCGUAGACGAAGUGCCUCGCCACAGAGAUUUUGAUUCAAGUGUUUUCAAGCAUGUAGUCCGUUGGGAAAAGAAUAGUGUCAGACCAAAAGCUAUUUCCAUGUCGGAGCAACACUGGUGCACAGAACACGUGUUCAUAAGACAAGUAUUUUGACCAUUUUAGUGCAACUUAAACCUGCAUGGUAUGUUGUUCAUAAUAUAAAAGUAAAAACCUUUUUAUGACUGAGGCUAGCUAUGUGCAAGCGUAUAUAAAGGAAUUCACCAUUGCGAUUUUCUUUACGAUUUUUGGGUUUCGAUCGGAUGUGAUGUGUAUGGUCACUACACAUUAAGCGGGGGAUACAUCUGCGAUAAAAGAGCCGAAAUCUAGCGAUACAGACCAGAGCUGCUUCAUGUUACAUGAUAUAUCUCCGUUAGAACAGCAACCUGAUACGGCAUCCCUAUCGCAAGUCUGUCAUCCAUCGCAAGCCAAAAACGCAAUGGUGGAUUCGUCGCUCAGAACAAUCUCCAAAGGUAUAAUCUUUUCGAUAUGUGCAUAAUCCUUCGUUCAAUUAAGUUCGUCGAGAUGACAUGUUCAUCAUGUCAUCAUUUCAUUAAAUAAAGAUGGAGGUAGAAUCUAUAAACCUGCUGCCUUCCAAUAUGAUAUAUUGAGUUGAGUUGAGAUCUGAUUAAAUUCAGAAUAUGAGAUAGAGGAAAGGAGACGUUCUCACGUGAGGUGGAGUGACAGUGUAUAUGUAGACCUCCCCUAUAUAUUGCAAGGUACGGUAAUUGUUUUUAAAUCACAGUUAAUUUGUCUUCCUGUUAGGUAUAUACUUCUUUUUUCAUGACUUGGCUAGACCACUGCGUUCAGAUUGUAACGUAUUAGGGCUGAGUUGUUCAAAACCAUAGUUUUAACGGAGCCGUUAAGUCUUAGCGUCAAAAUUCUAAUUGGAUUAACUGAAAAAGAUAACUUCCUUAAGUAUACUUACAUGUAACGUAACCGUUAAGGAUAACGUGACAGUUGUGAUUUUGAACCACCCUGAGCUCAACUAUACCGUAAAUGUACGUCAUACAAGAAAUCGAAACUCGCUAAUUAACAACUUUAGUAGAAAUUGCACGACAGCCUCAGUUCUCAAAAGGUUAGAAGAAAAUUACGCCAAUCCAAAAAAGAAUUCUGUACUUUUUAGCAUAACUGGACUAGAUGGUGCCUGCAGGUUGCUUGGGAUAAAGUAUUGCUUUCAUAUUUCUACCCUUUCCACAGCGUCUGAUUGGUCCGAGGCACUUCAUUGCUCGGUAUCGCAUGACGUGUUUUGUGUUUCCUGGUGGCGGGUUUACACGUAUUACUGAUAUUUUUUGUAACCUUGGUGUAAACAUCUUGUAUAAGGCAUGCCAUGAGCAUGAUAUCCAAACAGGAAUGUUGAUUUACAUUAUGAAAUUCAGCAUGCCUUGUACGUUUGUGGUGAUAAUGUAGUGGAGAUGUUCUUAACACGAUUCUGUUGCUGUAAAUAUUCGAAAGCCACUUCAUGACUUUAAUAGGAUAGAAUAUUUAUCGGUCAAAACUCAGAGGAAUAACAAUCUCGUAUUGUUAAGUUACGCGAGUCGUUGGUGCCUAAAAAACGUUGCAGCCUCUCAUUUUACCCAUUUGAUGAAUAGGUAUCACCGUCAACGGUUCAUAUCAGUCAAUGACUUCAUAUCUAUCUAAGUGAGCCGUUGGUGUCUGAAGCAUGUUUCAGCAUCUCGUUAUACCAAGAAUUAAUAAAUAGUCUUGUUAAUUCUUGGUUUGACCCAUCUUUUAAAAAACUAGGUUCAUCUCAAUCCAUUCAUACUAUGACCGCACAGUUAAGUAAGCCGUUGUUGUCUGAAGCAUGCUCCAGCCCUUCAUUUAUGCCCAUCUUUUCCUGGUACACGACUGGCUAUCAAAUUUCAUUUCAAUCCAUGCAUGUUGUAUUAAGCGAGUGGACUGUGUUGUUCCCUGCAGGUAGACGGCGGGUUGACAAAACCUGCAAACUCCUUCCAACCUAAAUACAAAUUUUCACAUCACUAAAUCAUUGAGAUUGCCGAGUUACAUAAUAUUGUAAAAAUUCCCUUGCAGCUCGCUUGACACAGCAGGCAUGUACAUUGUGAACUAUAAAUUCAUUUCCAAGAGGUCAAAGUUGUAAGCCAAGACCCGGUUGCUCAAUCGGCGCUGGAGACAAACGCCAUCGUUAGCUCAACUAAGCAUUAUCUACAUCAGUUUCUACCCUCCGGGCAUGAUGUCAUUUCUUGAUGCGAGAAGACACAGCGCCGUCGCACGGCAGAACUGAUAACGACUUAAACGUUCAGCUGAUCCGCUCGGUUCAGUGGGAGAUUUUUAUCAUGUGAGACCACCGGAUCUAUUCGUAAAACACCUUGGUUACAACAUUUCAUUUUUAGCAUAGUGUAUUACAUACAUAGCCUCGUUUUGAUCACAGAGGUUUUGAUCAAACAAAAACCAUAUUAAAUUAGUACCAUCCUUGGGGCAAAAACAGAAGAUUAUGAAUGAAGCAGGUUUGAGGUGUUUCAGAAUAGAUAUUGAUACCUCAUUGUCAUUGGUUGUCUCACCAAACACAGCUUGGGUGGAGAUGUCAUUACACCCAACCUCGGCUGCGUUUAGUGAGUCAAAAAUACCUCCAGUUUGUUUAACUGCUUUAAAUCAGCAUGUAAUUCUUGAUUUAUAACAUCAUUAUGAUCCAAUGUGAUCCAUGGUUAGUCAGAAGUCGAUGUUUUCAACUAUGCUUCCAUCUAUCCAAAUUCGCCGAAAAUACCGACAGUAAGGUAUCAACUUCUACAACUAUAAUUCCAAUGUCGAGUUUUGAAACCAGAAAAUGCGUGCAGCAACAUUUGUGUUCAGUGUAUUGGACACCUUGAACUUAUGUUGUAAAUACACCCACUCCACAUGGCCAUGCACGGGGGAACAAAAAGGCCAAAAUGAAAAAAGCAGCUAAAAAGAUGUCACAAACAUAUUUCAGGGGACGGUUCAGUUUGAGCGAUACCGACCAUAAUGGUUGUCACACCAGACAAACUCGUGGUGGGACCACCAAUAUUUCUAGUUCGGUAACAGAACUGUUUUUCGGGCGUCUAUUUUGUUUUAGGAUAGUACAUGUAACUGUGCCUUUCAAGUCUACGUCGUCAUCAUGAUUCUCGACGCUUUUUAUAGGCUGUAUAUACAUUACGUGUCAGCUUAUAGUUGUUAACAAACCAUUGUAAUUACUAUUAUUAAUAUGCAGAUUGGACUAUCAUCCAGUAUAGAUUUGAAGGGGGACUACAGGAAUGAGCCAGGUGGGCCAGAUUAAGUUGUACGAAGUUGUCGAUAGGUUAGUCUCCUUUCUUACAGUAUACAUCGGUGCACUCACUGAUGUAAGCCCAAAACAAGACCCAGUUCUCUAAUUUGCAAAUGAGUCAGCUUGAGACAACUAAUUUUCAGAGCCCGAUCCUCGCUCAUGUCUAUAGUCCCCCUUUAACCUCAUAGUUCCGGGGAAACAAUGAAUAUCCCAUGGCAUCAAGUACAUGUACCUUGCGAAUUUCUGCAGGCCAUGAUGAUAGUGUUCUGCACGAAUGUCUUUAUUUUGUAAACAUAUCGGUAUCGUUAUGUUAAAUAUUAAUAAAACAAUAAAAUGCAUUAUAGUUAUUGACAAA